rnacentral:lncRNA from 1 species
CCCCGGCCCAGGCUCGGGCGGCGCUGCGGAGCUGGGGCUAGGGGGCAGGUAUAUCCUGAAGAUCUCGGGGAAUUGCACAGCUUCCGACGGGAAAGACCAGCUCAGGACGCAGCUCCGUUCAAUGCUGCUGUGACCGCUGUGGGCUCUGAGAAACCCAGUACCCUCUUCACUGUCUUCUCUAUCCAUGGUUUCAGCUCAUCCAGCUCCCUCUUAGACAGUGCCAUUUUCCCAAAUAAGGAGAAUGACAGCUCAAAUGGGAUUCAACACUACAUCUCACAAAGUCAGCCCCUGAGACGGAGCCCGAACGUUACACCGGAACCGGAAACCUCCCGACUGCCCUAUGGCCUGCCGUCACUACAGACAUGGCCACCUCCAUGCUGCGGUCCUCUGACAUGUGACUCAUCAUACGUUUUUAGAAGGAAGCUACUGCACCCAAGGAUUGACUACUUAGUUCCAGAAAGAGCAAGUGAAAUGAUCCAACUGCUUCCACCAAGAGUUUGCUUACCCCUGAAUAAAACGUUUAAGAAAUGAAAUUAGUGUCAGUAUUUAAAUACAAGAUUUUAUAUAAAAAUUAGGUGCCUUUGUCACUUUUUCCCUCGCUGAGACACAAUACCGGAUAGCCACAAUUUAAAGAAAAACAGAUUAUUUUGGGUCAGUUUGUAG